rnacentral:rRNA from 1 species
GACGAACGCUGGCGGCGUGCUUAACACAUGCAAGUCGAACGGAAAGGCCCUGCUUUUGUGGGGUGCUCGAGUGGCGAACGGGUGAGUAACACGUGAGUAACCUGCCCUUGACUUUGGGAUAACUUCAGGAAACUGGGGCUAAUACCGGAUAGGAGCUCCUGCUGCAUGGUGGGGGUUGGAAAGUUUCGGCGGUUGGGGAUGGACUCGCGGCUUAUCAGCUUGUUGGUGGGGUAGUGGCUUACCAAGGCUUUGACGGGUAGCCGGCCUGAGAGGGUGACCGGCCACAUUGGGACUGAGAUACGGCCCAGACUCCUACGGGAGGCAGCAGUGGGGAAUAUUGCACAAUGGGCGGAAGCCUGAUGCAGCAGCGCCGCGUGCGGGAUGACGGCCCUCGGGUUGUAAACCGCUUUCGCCUGUGACGAAGCGUGAGUGACGGUAAUGGGUAAAGAAGCACCGGCUAACUACGUG